ACUCAGGUGUUGUUGGGUAGGGGAGCGUUCUGUAAGCCUGCGAAGGUGGCCUGUGAGGGUUGCUGGAGGUAUCAGAAGUGCGAAUGCUGACAUAAGUAACGAUAAAGCGGGUGAAAAGCCCGCUCGCCGGAAGACCAAGGGUUCCUGUCCAACGUUAAUCGGGGCAGGGUGAGUCGACCCCUAAGGCGAGGCCGAAAGGCGUAGUCGAUGGGAAACGGGUUAAUAUUCCCGUACUUGGUGUUACUGCGAAGGGGGGACGGAGAAGGCUAUGUUGGCCGGGCGACGGUUGUCCCGGUUUAAGCGUGUAGGUGUGUGUUCCAGGUAAAUCCGGUUCACUUUAACACUGAGGCGUGAUGACGAGGCACUACGGUGCUGAAGCAACAAAUGCCCUGCUUCCAGGAAAAGCCUCUAAGCAUCAGGUAACAUCAAAUCGUACCCCAAACCGACACAGGUGGUCAGGUAGAGAAUACCAAGGCGCUUGAGAGAACUCGGGUGAAGGAACUAGGCAAAAUGGUGCCGUAACUUCGGGAGAAGGCACGCUGACACGUAGGUGAAGUGAUUUACUCAUGGAGCUGAAGUCAGUCGAAGAUACCAGCUGGCUGCAACUGUUUAUUAAAAACACAGCACUGUGCAAACACGAAAGUGGACGUAUACGGUGUGACGCCUGCCCGGUGCCGGAAGGUUAAUUGAUGGGGUCAGCGCAAGCGAAGCUCCUGAUCGAAGCCCCGGUAAACGGCGGCCGUAACUAUAACGGUCCUAAGGUAGCGAAAUUCCUUGUCGGGUAAGUUCCGACCUGCACGAAUGGCGUAAUGAUGGCCAGGCUGUCUCCACCCGAGACUCAGUGAAAUUGAACUCGCUGUGAAGAUGCAGUGUACCCGCGGCAAGACGGAAAGACCCCGUGAACCUUUACUAUAGCUUGACACUGAACAUUGAGCCUUGAUGUGUAGGAUAGGUGGGAGGCUUUGAAGUGUGGACGCCAGUCUGCAUGGAGCCGACCUUGAAAUACCACCCUUUAAUGUUUGAUGUUCUAACGUGGACCCGUGAUCCGGGUUGCGGACAGUGUCUGGUGGGUAGUUUGACUGGGGCGGUCUCCUCCUAAAGAGUAACGGAGGAGCACGAAGGUUGGCUAAUCCUGGUCGGACAUCAGGAGGUUAGUGCAAUGG
rnacentral:rRNA from 1 species